UUUUCUAUAUAUGUGUGUUUAUAAGAAGUGAGCUUUGCUAUUUGGGGGUGUAGUGGACAUGGAAGUUCAAGGGAACCUUGGAUAUUGCCUAAACCAGUCCAUUACCAAUCAUGGGAGAACUUGGUGAUAAAUGCGGUUAAAGCUUUCAAUGCUGAAACGGGUAGGGUUAACAGAGUGCCCAAAGUGAAAUUACUUCCGGGCGUACCUAAACAACCGGGUGGAGUUGAGUAUGGCUAUUAUGUGAUGCGAUAUAUGAAAGAUAUUAUAAAUGAUGAUACUCUUUCAUUUUCAACCAAG